UCGCGGGGCGGCAGCACGGGGGACGAGUGCUUCUGGGGGACAGCAGGAGAGGGGUCCCAGCUGACCGUCGGCCCCGCCGCCGAGUUCUUGAAGUAGGGUGAGAUCUCCUUCAUGUACUUCACUUCCAGCACCACCUCUUUGCCCGUCUUCUUCAGUGCCUGCACCGCCUCGUCGUGCGUGGCCUCGGACAGGUCGGUGCCAUUCACGGACAGGAUGGCAUCUCCCACAUACAGCGCCUCGGUCUGGUCUGCUGCCAGUCCCUUGAAGAUCUUGGAGAUGAGGAUGGGCAUCUUGUUCUCCCGGCCACCUUUGAUGCUGAUGCCGAGCCCCCCCACGUCCUGUUUGACGACGCGCACCGUGCGCCUGAUGUUGGCGAGCGCCUCGGGCACGCCGGAGCUCUGCUCCCCUCCGUUCAGCUGCGCCGGCUGCGGCUCCCCGGGCCCGGGGCCGUCCGCGGGGCUGACGCUCAGCGUGUCAUCGCUCAGGGUGAGGAGGACGCGGAGCCACUGCCCGCCGGGGCCGCGCAGCUCCAGCAGCCCGCUGCGCGCCCCGCGCCUGCCCGCCGCCAUCUUCCGCGCAUGCCGGGCCCGGCCCCGCCGCUCCGGCACCUCCGCUCCGCGCUGCCCCGCGCCCGCCCGGCGGAGCUCCG
rnacentral:lncRNA from 1 species